UUUCACAUUUAAGUAGUUCUCUUCUAGGGCAGAGGUUCUCCUGAGAUGACCUCCUACCUGUGAUCCCCAUUAGAAGCCGUGUUCUGGGACUCUUGUACCCUCUCUUCUAUCAACAUGAACUUGACAUCCAUAUCUGUAUUGCAGUACCUCACCCUCAACUCUGUUGGCUGCACAUAUGGAAGUGCCAUUUGGCCUGAGUAGCACCUGGACUACCAGUAACACCACUGCCAUUGAAAGAAUGAUCUUAGUUCUCUCUAUGAGAAUGAACUUCUCAAGAAAAGUGAAAAGGAAAUCAAUAAGGCUGUUGACAUCGGACUUAAUAAUUUAGUAAAAGGCUUGCUUUAGAAUACGGUGUCAUUGGAGAUGGCUGAAGAUAUCUUUAUGGAAGUGUGAGAACCUUUGCAAAGGAUAAAAGGCUUGCUUGGAUUCAGAAUGAGAUAACAUGUCUUUAGAAGAAUGAGAACAAGGAGUACCAUGGACAGUAUCUCUUCUAGAUUAGACCUUUCUGCCCCCACCUUCACUUUUUUGCCAUAGCUAUGUGCCACCUACACUAGUACUUAUUUAAUAUCUUUCUUUAAAUCAACUUCUUUUAAAAAACUUGAAUAUUUGUAUCACCUAAAUAUUGCCUAUAUUCCCA
rnacentral:lncRNA from 1 species